rnacentral:lncRNA from 1 species
ACUAGACUUAAAAGAUUUGUCUUGCAAAUUAUUCUCUAACUAUGUUUUUAGUUUCGUAAAUAAUCUACAUUUAGUAUUUUAAAUAUGUGUUCAAAUAUUCGAUGCGAUGGACGAUAAAUUUUACCGUCCACAACCAAACAAGCUCUUAGUUUACAUAGUUCGUGUUCAUAUAUGCAUAUGCAAGUGUCUGCGAGGCUAUCCUAAUGCUUUUAGGAAAAGAAAAAAAGAGACACUAGAAGAUCGGCGAAUAGCUCACAUGUGCAUCCAGUAUGCGUCCUCUUUUUUGAAGCAAAUUUUUAUUUGGCUACGGCCUCCUAGCGUCUUGCAAAAUUAUCUGCAAUUCGAUUGUAAGAAUAAGUUUAAUGAAUGAAGCGAAAGUUUUAAAAAAACAAAAAGAAACAAAAAAACAGAGGAGCUACAAAGUCUACUUUACUAGCUCGGCCCCGAAGAGAUAAGUUUCUUGUUUGACUUUUCCUUAUCUAACGGUAGCAAGAGGCAGUGGUUCUAUAGAAAAGAUUCUGGAGGUAGGAUUCUUUAGUUGAUGUCGAAGAAUCUGAUGCCUAAAAGCCACGAAGAAUAUGCUAGCGGCUUUAUAAUCACGAAGGAGCC